AGUUAAACAGUACGUGAAAUUGUUGAAAGGGAAACGAUUGAAGCCAGUCGUACCUUCGGGUAAUCAGCCUUUUGGGUGUGAUUUUGUGGAGCGUGAAGAGUUAAACGCCUUCAUGCUUGCAUAUUCGUGCACUUUGGGUGUACUUGCCCGUAUGGUUGGUUAACAUCAAUUUUGGUGGUCAUAAAAUGACUGGAGGAAUGUAGCUUCGAUCUCGUAUUGAAGUAUUAUAGCCUUCGGUAGAUGUGAUGAUCGAGAUUGAGGAUUGCAACGGAUACCCUUCGGGGCUACCUGUCUGAUCUCUGAUCGUUGCUCUGGUACCGAAAGCUUGCUUACGGUUAUCAAAGUCGAUGGUCAAUAGGUUAGAACGGGUUAAAUUCGUUAAGGAUGUUGACGUAAUGGCUUUAAA
rnacentral:misc_RNA from 1 species